GUGAUUGUGAUGUGAUCCCACAGAAUUAUAAGAUGAAAGUGGAACAAAAGCUCUUCUGCUUGUGACUUAUUCCUCCAUUAUUGAACAUGCCUCCUUCGGAUUUUGGCUCACAGAGUACCCUGUCCAGGAAGAGGAAUCCGAAGAGGAACUAGAGAAGCAUUGGUCUAUUAGAGAAAAAGCCAGGCUUCCUUGGACACCAGAAAGGAAAGACACCGAGUCUUCAAAAACCAGCUGAACAAGGAUAUCCUCAAGACAGAGGGAAAUGGCAUUAAUAAGGAGUCUCUUGUGUUGGGCAUUGAAUGCAUGCCAGGCACUGUGACAAACAUUUCCCAUAUAUUAUCACUUUUCAUCCUUAACAACUAUCCCCUUGUACAGAUGAAGACUCCAAAGCUAAAGAAACAAACAAAAAAGGUAAAGCAACUCGGACAAGGUAAGCACAGCUAGUAAGUCAUGGCCUGGGGCAUAUCUAUAGGUAUAUUUUUUAUAAGAUCACGUCUGUAAACUGCCUAAGAUUAUGACAACGAAGGGCAUUAGUUAAAAUUGUAAGCAUAUGUUGGAAGGAGAAUCGGUCCCUAGGGACAAACAUACCUGAAACGCUCUAUAAAAAUCAUCAGUCGAGAUAGCCCUUUGUUCUUGGUUCCUAAGCAGGGUUGGGGCAAAAACUACUUGUUAUAAAGGAAAUCCCUAAGAACCUCAGUUAGGGUUUCUGAAACUCAAACUCAGAGCACGUACUGAGGCUCAGAGUGGUUACGUGUUUUGCUCUGGGAUUCUGACGUUCCAAGUCCAUUUGACUCCAAGACCCAACUUCUUUGAGGAAUUUUGGCUCAGGAAUUUAGGAAUACACAGCGACUGCUACGAGUAUAGGCUUCUUCAUUUCUCAUGACCAUCCUGAGCCCAAAUAUCACCAGUUACGUUCCCUCUUGCAGACCCAGUCUGCUUCUGAGAGAUCAACAAGCAAAGGGUCAAAGAAAUGCUCAACCUCAGGGAAAGAGUGAGGGCAAAGAGACAGAGAGGAAAAGAAACAAGAGGGAGAAACCGAGGACUUGCUUGUCUCUUGCCUUUAAUCACACCCCAAAGUGACCUAGGAUCGAGAAAGACAGAUUCAGGUAGGCAGAAGCCCUCAGGAAGAAUCAAGCUUGGAUCCUGGAGUGGUCAAGAGUAUUCUAAGAAGGCCCACAGUGACCAGGAUAUAGAAAGGUGAGAAUGGGGAGGUUGGCAAGGGCCAGGUCAUGCAGCUCAUUAUAUUUGAGCCAUGUUGAGGAGUUUGUACUUUCGUCAAAGCG
rnacentral:lncRNA from 1 species